rnacentral:rRNA from 1 species
AUACGUAGGUGGCGAGCGUUGUCCGGAAUUACUGGGUGUAAAGGGCGUGUAGGCGGGUUCUUAAGUCAGAUGUGAAAUUCCGGGGCUCAACUCCGGAGCUGCAUCUGAAACUGGGGAUCUUGAGUGCUGGAGGGGAAAGUGGAAUUCCUAGUGUAGCGGUGAAAUGCGUAGAGAUUAGGAGGAACACCAGUGGCGAAGGCGGCUUUCUGGACAGUAACUGACGCUGAGGCGCGAAAGCGUGGGGAGCAAACAGGAUUAGAUACCCUGGUAGUCCACGCCGUAAACGAUGGAUACUAGGUAUAGGGGGUCUAAUAUACCCUCUGUGCCGCAGCUAACGUAUUAAGUAUCCCACCUGGGGAGUACGGCCGCAAGGUUGAA